rnacentral:lncRNA from 1 species
GUUUGUUUUUAUUUAUGCUACCUGUUCAUGUAUAUGUUUACGAUUUAUACAUACAUAUAUUGUUUAUAAACAUAGGUCUUAUAAAUAUGUAAUGGUUUCCUUCAAGGUAAGUUUUGGAUUUCUUUGUUUUAAAUGUAUGCCAUAAUAUGUAUAUCUAUUUAUGCCACGCUGAAUUCGUUAUUUCUUGUUGAAUUCCAAUUUUAUAGUACUUAGCUACAUUUAUAUAAUUUAUAAACCAUCGAAAGUGUUGAAAAAAUCUGGCUUUAGUUUUGUUCUUUCGAGUUACGUACGAAACAUGCAAAAUAAACUACAAAUAAAUAUUUAGGGAAUCCAGUAGGUCCACUCUGAGUCCAGUGUACAAAACGUGUUUGUAUCAGUGGUUAGUUCUUAUUUAUUUUGAUUAAAAAAUGAAGUAGAAAACACGUUAUACAUUGAGUGAGUCAAAACUCUGCUUUCUGGGUUUACAUUCAUAAGGAAUGCUCACUCCCCAAAAUUCAAAACUAGUGUUGAAAUAAACUCAAAACUAUAUAAUUAUAAUCUGUAUAUAUAACAAACGAAUAUGGUUCAGCAAAAAAAAAACAUUUAUGAACUAAACAUUGAAAGAAUUUUUACUUCCUGUUAUUAUUGAAAAGUGCCAUACUGGUUUCUGUUAUUCCAAAACAGAAGUAAACUGUACCUGCCAAAUGAUUUAAUAUAUUUACUUGCUUAACAGUUACAUCUAAUGAAUGUAUAUGUAACUCUUAGAUAAACCAUAUACUUCAUGACGAUAAUGAUUUUUAUUUUAUGAUAUUUUCUAGGUCUAUCAUUAUAACAAGAUAAUGGUAUUUUCAUUUUAAACUUCCCCCAAGGACUACAGAUUGGAAAGAAAAGUAAAGAGAAAAUGGGUAAUCAACCACCAAAAGGGAAAAAUCCCGGCGGCCCAGUUCGUGGAUUAGAGGUACACUUACUAUUCACAAAUCUAACAGUUGCUAUUUGAUUGCAAAAUAAAGGCAAUAUAGUAGUAUGCUGUUGUUCAAUAGUCAUAAAUCGAAACCGAGGGAAACACAUCAACUUUAAGCGGAAAAUAACGGAACAACAGAAACACUGAACUGCUACAUGAAAAAAUGCCAACAUACAUAAAUACCAUAUUCCUGACGCGGAACAAAUGAUGGGUUGAACCUGGUAUAUGGCUAGCCAAACCUGCCGCGUAUAUUGCAAUGUUAAAAAUACCGCAAAAAUGACAACAUUAUGUGACUGGAAUACAGUACAAAUAAACGCAAGAACAAUCAGAAAAAUAAAGGCAACAGUAGUAUACCGCUGUUCAAAACUCGUAAAUCUAUGGACAAAAAACAAAAUCGGGGUAACAAACCAAAACUGAGGGAAACGCAUUAGACAGAAAUACAUUAAUAAAUAAUGUAACAGUACUUUACAACAUGUAAACAACAGAAUAACAACGUAUAAACUUAAGAUUAUUUCCUUUUUUUUCUUGUAAAAAUAUCUACAUACAGGAUUACUUCACUAAAGAAAACACAAUCGUCUGUUUCUGAUUAAAUUGUUAUAUCGAUAUUGCUCACAUUUAAGUCGUCAUUUGGUCUUUGGUGGAGAGUCUCAUUGGCAAUCAUACCGCAUUUUCUCAUUUUUAUAAAUCAAAACCUAAUCUUAACUAUGUUGUGGUUUGUAGAUUUUAGUUUUGUCUUUUGGUAUUUUCUAUUUAUGUGUUCGAAUAUCUUUUUUAUAUCUUCCACCUCUUACUUGCAUCAUUUAUUUGAUUUUAGAUUUUAACACCAUUUAUUGUCAUAAUAUGAAAUAUAUUUUUGAAUUAUUAUAGGGUCUUUUAAAGGAUGCUAUGAGGUUAGCCCAUGUUGCAGUAUCAGGUA